AGAGUUUGAUCCUGGCUCAGGACGAACGCUGGCGGCGUGCCUAAUACAUGCAAGUCGAGCGGGGUCCAUCCAGUGGCAACACUGGGGACGACCUAGCGGCGAACGGGUGAGUAACACGUGAGGAACCUGCCCCGAAGUCUGGGAUAACCCGAGGAAACUCGAGCUAAUACCGGAUGCCCACAUCAGAUCGCAUGGUCAGAUGGGGAAAGUCUUUUCGCUUCGGGAGGGCCUCGCGGCCUAUCAGCUAGUUGGUGGGGUAACGGCCUACCAAGGCAUCGACGGGUAGCUGGUCUGAGAGGACGAUCAGCCACACUGGGACUGAGACACGGCCCAGACUCCUACGGGAGGCAGCAGUAGGGAAUCUUGCGCAAUGGGCGAAAGCCUGACGCAGCAACGCCGCGUGGGGGAUGAAGGCUCUCGGGUUGUAAACCCCUUUCAGCAGGGACGAAAUUGACGGUACCUGCAGAAGAAGCCCCGGCCAACUACGUGCCAGCAGCCGCGGUAACACGUAGGGGGCGAGCGUUGUCCGGAUUUAUUGGGCGUAAAGAGCUCGUAGGCGGCUCGGUAAGUCGGGUGUGAAAACUCAGGGCUCAACCCUGAGACGCCACCUGAUACUGCUGUGGCUAGAGUCCGGUAGGGGAGCGUGGAAUUCCUGGUGUAGCGGUGGAAUGCGCAGAUAUCAGGAGGAACACCAAUGGCG
rnacentral:rRNA from 1 species